UCGGAGUGAGGGAUCAGAAAGGGUGCUGCCGACUGCGACAGCGUGGGGCCGUCGGUGGGUUGGGGCCGAUCGGCGAUGGUCCGAUGGAAAUGGCAAAGAGGAGAGCAAGAGGGUGCGGUGGGGGGCGUUGGCCUUUGGUGUGAGGUUUCUCUUGGCGAUAGCAAUUCAGGCAUUGCGGCGGUGCAGUGUUCAUGGCCUACACUGAUGUACUGAGAUUCUUGUUUGCGGCUGGGGUUUGGUGUGCAACCUAUGCUUUUGUCGCAGUUGCUGGGAUUUUCCAGAUCUUCAACAUUCUCCGUACCUCCCUUUUGAACUGACAGAGAGGUUUUAGUGGACUAUGGCGCAAUUUGUUUUUGGACAUGCUGGCAGAGUGGCUGUGGGAAGGUGAUCAUUUAGAUUCAACGCCCCCUGUAAUUUUGUUGUGGUAGCAAUUUGUUAUUUCCUUGGCCAAAGUUAUGGAGAUUUUCCUCUAAUAGUUUCUCUCUGGGGUUUGGAGAUGGCGAAUUUAAACAAUGGUUAAUUACUAUUAUUGUUGUGGGUGUUGGUGUUGUAAUUGUUUUCAUUGGAGGUUUUCCUACAUUUUUCUCUCUCUUGGUUUGGAGAUAACCAAUUACAACAAUGCGUUAUCAUCAUCAUUGUUGUUGCAAUGGCUAUUACUGUUAUUGUUGUUGUUCUUGUUAUUA